CACGUAGGUGGCGAGCGUUAUCCGGAUUUACUGGGCGUAAAGCGUGUGCAGACUGGGUAGCAAGUGGUGUAUGAAAGGGUGAGGCUCAACCUCACGAGGGUAUGCCAGACUGCUGCUCUAGAGUGCGAGAGAGGGAUGUGGAAUUCCGGGUGUAGUGGUGAAAUGCGUAGAGAUCCGGAGGAACCCCAGAGGCGCAAGCGGCGUCCUGGCUCGCAACUGACGUUCAGACACGACAGCAUGGGGAGCGAACGGG
rnacentral:rRNA from 1 species